rnacentral:rRNA from 1 species
CACCCAGACUCCUACGGGAGGCAGCAGUGAGGAAUAUUGGUCAAUGGGCUUACGCCUGAACCAGCCAAGUCGCGUGAGGGAAGACUGCCCUAUGGGUUGUAAACCUCUUUUGUCAGGGAGCAACGCCGGCUACGUGUAGCCGGACUGAGAGUACCUGAAGAAAAAGCAUCGGCUAACUCCGUGCCAGCAGCCGCGGUAAUACGGAGGAUGCGAGCGUUAUCCGGUUUUAUUGGUUUUAAAGGGUGCGUAGGCGGACGAUUAAGUCAGGGGAAAAAUGGGGGGUCUCAACCUGGGCGAGCCGUUGAAACUGGGUGCCUUGAGUGGGCGAGAAGUACGCGGAAUGCGUGGUGUAGCGGUGAAAUGCAUAGAUAUCACGCAGAACUCCGAUUGCGAAGGCAGCGUACCGGCGCCCAACUGACGCUGAAGCACGAAGGCGUGGGUCUCGCACAGGAUUAGAUACCCUGGUAG